GCUUCCCGUCGCCCCGCAAGCAAUGGAGCCGUCCGCUGCCCCGCUGGACACCACUCCGGACCCCGCCAUCGUGCAGCCCCCCGGGGCCAACCCGCCGGGAGCCCCCCGGGAGCAGCCGCAGCAGGAGCAGCUGCGGAUCGGGGAGAGCGGGCAGUUCAGCGAGGGGCCGGAGGACAGAGGUUUACUAGAAAGCAGUACAAGGCUAAAACCUCAUGAAGCUCAAAGCUACAGAAAGAAGGCAUUGUGGGUUUCCUGGGUCUCCAUUAUUGUCACACUGGCUCUUGCAGUGGCUGCUUUCACUGUCUCCGUAAUGAGAUACAGUGCAUCAUCCUUUGGAUUUGCUUUUGAUGCCACCCUGGAUGUUUUGUCGUCAGCGAUAGUUUUGUGGCGUUACAGCAACGCAGCCGCCGUGCACUCUGCACACAGGGAGUACAUGGCUUGUGUUAUCUUGGGUGUCAUAUUCCUCCUGUCAUCUAUAUGUAUUGUGAUCAAAGCCAUCCACGAUCUUGCGAAGAGAGUGCUUCCAGAAGUGGAUGAUUUUCUGUACAGUGUAUCUGUUCUAAGUGGAAUCCUUUGCACCGUUUUGGCAGUAAUCAAAUUUAUGCUGGGAAAGGUCCUUACAAGCAGAGCACUGAUAACUGAUGGUUUCAACUCUCUUGUAGGUGGAAUAAUGGGAUUUUCCAUCCUUCUUAGUGCAGAAGUGUUUAAACACAAUUCUUCUGUCUGGUACCUGGAUGGCAGUAUAGGAGUGUUAAUUGGACUUACAAUAUCUGCCUAUGGAAUCAAGCUGCUCAUCGAUAUGGUGCCCAGGGUGAGGCAAACGCGCCACUACGAGAUGUUCGAGUGAAGGUGCUGCCCUCUCCCUGCAAGGACUGUGAAACCACAGCAUCCUUGGCAAGUGGUGCCAAUGGUAUUUUCCUCAAUAUGCAGUUUGCUUCCCCGUGGUCUGUUUCUGUUGAAGUUUGUUUGAAUGGGAAAUCUCUCUGUAAAUCCGGCAUAUUGUGCGCACUGCUUGCGAUUCAGCCAAACAGCAGCGAUAUGGUUUGGUUUUUUUUUCUUAUUUAUUUCCAGUAUGCUAUUGAUUCCUGUGACAAUAGAAAACAUGCAGUUCUCAGUUUGAACCCAGCUGCCAUGUUGUAUAUUCCAGAGUGAACGUGUUCUCGAUGGUGUGGUAAGCCUGUGGGUAAAGAAGUGCCAGUUUCAGAUUUGAGUUUUGGAAUUUUUUUUCCCCUGGCCUGUAUUUUCCCAAACACAUGCUAUAACAGGAGUACAAUCCUUGCUAACCUCUUCGACUAGGAGUAUCUUACAUAGAGUCUGGACACCAAGAGCUGUGUUGCUUAAAACACUGAAGUAGCUACUUCCACCCUCUUGUUGAAAUAGACACCCAGAAAGAGCAGGUACAGCCCUUUCUGUGAUCAGAGAUACUGCAUUUCAACCCCAAAUUAACUCAAUCCAUACCUCUUCAGUUCAAAGUCCAUUUUUUCUUAAUGAGACACAGUUCAUAGCUUUGCAUGGACCCAACAAGCACACACAGUAUUACUGUACAGACCAAAGCCAAAAAAUCAUGCAGGGAAGAGGAGCUGCUCAAGGAAUGGGAUUUUCAUCUCCUAUUUUACCAUAUGCAGCUGUACCAGCGUGUGUGAUGUUGUGGUUGCUCUGUAGUCUGACAAAGGCACAGCAGUGGCUCAAUCUCAUGGUGAGAUACAGAUCUAUUUAUUAGACUUAGAUUGUCCUGUAAAGUGUUGCUCACUUUCCACCACACAUCUUAUAUAUUACUUAAUAGCAGGUUAAAUGAUCAAAGAUUCUUGAUGUAUAAUCAAUAAAACUGGUAUCUAUUUUAUACAGUAUCUGUAAGUAACAUUUGAAAACUAUUUCCAGAAUGUAUCAUAGAACAAAGUCUUCCUGUAUAGCAGCCUAUUAAACUGGAUUCUCUGGCUAUAGCCAUUUUCUCCUUAUUUUAUGUAUUCCAGGUCAGUUUGCACAACAGAGAAUCAAUAAUGUUUCUUCUAUUUAUCACAGGUGAAUAAAAGAUAGGACAGACUACUGUAGAGUUUGAAAUAAGACUGUGGUAAGUAGGUAAGUAGCUAGAAAUGCCCAUUUCUAGUGCAUAACAAUAGACUACAGAUAUGAGAGUAGAUGUACAGUUUGGCUGAUCAGUGAGGGAUAUACAGUGGAGACAGAGGUGUGCUGUCAAAACUGUAUUUCCCAUCAUCUGCAACUUGCCCAGGUCCUUAAGGAUCUCUAGUAAAAGCCAACUCCCACAGAUUUGUGUUGGAAGGGACCCCCAGUGGUUUCCCUGACCUGGCAGUACCCAUAUGAGAGUGACAGUAUUGGAAAGAGAACAUGCCUUGAUACAGGAUUCCUUAUGGUAAAAUGAAAUUUGCUCUGCUGCUAUUGUUUGUUUUCCCAUCUUUUGGAUCAAUUAAGUUUGUGUAAGUAUUUGUAUGCCAAGUGGUGCUACCAGUGCUGAUGCUGCUUGUGCCUUGCUGUCACAGGAUGAUGUCACUCAGCUACAAGGUGACUAAGGAGCUGUUUCAGAGGACCAUUCAGUAAGGACUCCAGAAGGACUGCAAAGUCAUUUUUGUCCAGCACUGGUUUGCUCUGAUGUGUGUCUCCAUCCCCUCUGAUGUCUUCAGCCAGGCAGGAGCAAGGACCCCCAAGCCAAGGCUCCCAAGCAAAGCAGGACACACGGUGA